AUGGCUCCUUUGAUGAGACAUAAAGAUGUUUUAAGAGCUGGCUCUUUUGAUGGGAUCAGGAAAAUAAGGUCCAAGGGUCUUCUGAUUUUCAGUUCAGCAUCCUUUCCUCUGAAUCAUGCUGUCUUUCUUCCUUUUACCCUCACAGCUCUAACUCUUUAAGAAAAUUUUCUUUACCUGAAAUCUCAUUUUGCCUCUUGGCAAUUUUCCACUUAUGACUCCUACUGCUGCCCUUUGGAGCCAAGCAGAGAAAAUCUAAUUAAUCUCUCAG
rnacentral:lncRNA from 1 species